GCAACACGAUGAACUGAAUCCAUAGGUUAAUGAGGCGAACCGGGGGAACUGAAACAUCUAAGUACCCCGAGGAAAAGAAAUCAACCGAGAUUCCCCCAGUAGCGGCGAGCGAACGGGGAGGAGCCCAGAGCCUGAAUCAGCAUGUGUGUUAGUGGAAGCGUCUGGAAAGGCGCGCGAUACAGGGUGACAGCCCCGUACACAAAAGCGCAUGUGCUGUGAGCUCGAUGAG
rnacentral:rRNA from 1 species